GAUGAACGCUGGCGGCGUGCCUAAUACAUGCAAGUCGAGCGAACGGACGAGAAGCUUGCUUCUCUGAUGUUAGCGGCGGACGGGUGAGUAACACGUGGAUAACCUACCUAUAAGACUGGGAUAACUUCGGGAAACCGGAGCUAAUACCGGAUGAUAUUUUGAACCGCAUGGUUCAAAAGUGAAAGACGGUCUUGCUGUCACUUAUAGAUGGAUCCGCGCUGCAUUAGCUAGUUGGUAAGGUAACGGCUUACCAAGGCAACGAUGCAUAGCCGACCUGAGAGGGUGAUCGGGCACACUGGAACUGAGACACGGUCCAGACUCCUACGGGAGGCAGCAGUAGGGAAUCUUCCGCAAUGGGCGAAAGCCUGACGGAGCAACGCCGCGUGAGUGAUGAAGGUCUUCGGAUCGUAAAACUCUGUUAUUAGGGAAGAACAUAUGUGUAAGUAACUGUGCACAUCUUGACGGUACCUAAUCAGAAAGCCACGGCUAACUACGUG
rnacentral:rRNA from 1 species